AAAGACGGUCGUGCAAUCGCUUUAUGUUGAAAGUCAUAAAGAGGAAAGUCCGAACUUUGACUGUUAAUUGUGUGAAGUUGUUUGUACAAUAAACAGUAAACGGUAGCAGGUAAUUCCUGUCAUUCGUGAGAAUAGAGGUGCGAUCAGAGACGCUUUUUCCGGAAACGGAAAAGUACCCUUCUUUUUAAGAAGGGUAAGUUUUGUAGUAAUACAGAAUAUGAAACGGCUAAAUCCUUACCGAAAAGCAAGGUUGAAAUAUAAACCGCUAGAUUGUUAAGAGUAAUUUUAACAACAGAGAAAUGAUUGCACUUUUAUAAUUUAAAAGACAGAAUUCGGUGUAUAGACCGUCUUUUUAU
rnacentral:RNase_P_RNA from 1 species